rnacentral:tRNA from 1 species
GCAGUAGUAGUUCAGUGGUGGAACUCUUGCCUUCCACGCGGGAGACCUGUGUUCAAUUCCCAGCUGAGGUA